CGGCGCUUCAGGUUACGAGGUGUGCGGGUUCCAGUCUUACGAGGUGUGCGGGUUCCAGUCUUACGAGGUGUGCGGGUUCCAGUCUUACGAGGUGUGCGGGUUCCAGUCUUACGCGGUGUGCGGGUUCCAGUCUUACGAGGUGUGCGGGUUCCAGUCUUACGAGGUGUGCGGGUUCCAGUCUUACGCGGUGUGCGGGUUCCAGUCUUACGAGGUGUGCGGGUUCCAGUCUUACGAGGUGUGCGGGUUCCAGUCUUACGCGGUGUGCGGGUUCCAGUCUUACGCGGUGUGCGGGUUCCAGUCUUACGCGGUGUGCGGG